ACUUUAAGAGUUGCGCCGACUUUAUCGAUUUUUUCCAGCCUUCCCCUCACUUCUUUUCAAUGUUUUCACGUAUUUUUCUUCAGCAAAUGUCUCUCAAACGUGAGAGAGGAGUCGAUGAAGAUGGAAGAAGAUUCAGUUCCGGUGGAAUCUUCGUUAGAAGACGAUCUGAGCUUACUCGGAGAAUCGAGUGAAGAUGACGAGGAGGAGGAAGUUAUAGACCUUCUUCAAUUAUGAACAACGACGUCACACUUAUGACAAAAGAAAACGAAAGUUUUUCCAAGAACAUCAUUCGGAAAUUAUCGGCUGUCAUUUGAAGCCUUCCGAAGUACUCCUGGAAAAGGUUGGCAUUGCCGUUCAACUGUGGAUCAAUCUUCAAUAGAGCUUUCCGAGCCAUCUCUUGAUGGGAUCUGUAAAAUAAAAUUUGUAACACAAAUCGUGAUUGGGAAAUUCACCUGUGAUAUAAUUCAAAGGGGCUUGGUUCAUGUACAACCACACUGUAGCAGACCAAAACGACUGGAACCAUUGCAACAGUUCCAUAAGUUGAGAACAGAAAGUGUGGAAAAUGGUUGAAAAGAGCAUUCCCGAGACUCUUGGGAUGAAGAAAAUGAAAAAUCGUUCGAAGAAUGGACUUGACACCAGUAGUUCUUGACAAAAUUUGUUCCCCGCAAUUUCAGAUACUUUCGAAAAGAAAGAAGUACUGAAGUGGUCCACGAUGAAGAUGUGAAGACUAUGAGGAGCUCCGACAAUAGCUUGAACAAAAAUUGAAAUGAAAACUGAGGCAGCAGCACCCAGAAAACACGUUUGCGAACCAAUACGAUCGAUGAUGAAAUGGACAAAGACUGCGGCAAAAACUUGGGCUAGCAACCACAACAUCAGGAUAGUGACCUGAAAGAAAACAUUUAAGUUGAUCUAAAAGUCGAAUGGAAUUCACCAGCCAACGAGCAAUGGCUGCCUCGUCAUACGUUUGGAUGUUGUCCGUGUUGAGAGCAUCAUCCAGAAACCUGAAAAAAUCAUUUUUUGGAAUAUUGAGACAAAUAUCAAAAACUUACACACGACUUGUUUUGUCCAGCCUGUAUCCAAAAAACCAAAACCCAUUAAGAAAGUUUGAAAGUAGUUGAAUUUGCAUUCCGAUCAUCUGCCACGUGGUCGGUGGCUGUCUCUUUGCAAAAAUUUGAUGCAAACGCGCCCCAGUGAGAAUUUUGUUGGUGGACUUCACUCGGACAAGUAAUUUAAUAGAAAAUUUGGUUUAUUUGCUAGGAAGUUGGUUGUUUUUCGAUUUAAUAAAUAAAUUUUAAUUUUUUUCCGGUUAAAAUCUUUAUUUUAGUUCAUCACUUGUUUCAGAGAACCUAGAUUUCAAUCGAGGGACCUCCUGCGACACGAAAAGGCAGGAAUGAUAGAUUUGAGGUAUUUUCCUUACGUAAUUGGUUCCGCAAAAUCACAAAAUAAAAAGAAUUAAAAUGCAAAAAUUUCAGGCUAGCCUGCAGGCUCAAUAACGACAAGACGGAGAGUGGAUCGACAAGAGGGAAGAGGUGAAAUUGGUUCAAAUUCAGAUGCAACAACAACAGGACUGGUCGAAAGGAGGACUUUUGGAACACGUGAUGCCGUUCGUCAAGACUCACAAAACAUGGGCCAGAACAAGUGAGCAACCCAUCGAGGCACUUCACGCGUUCUACAACAAACAGAAAAGUCUUUACGCAACAAUUCGGGAUAACAGUACACGAGUGAAGUUCUGCUUCCGAAAGAUUCUCUUUAAAAACUAUAUUUCCAUUCACAGUUAAAGAUUUUUUUAUAUUUCCAUUCGAAAAUCCCACAAUUUCUAC
ensembl:antisense_RNA anr-35 ncRNA